GGAAAAUCCAACACUGAGGUGCAGAUAAAAGGACUGGAGCUGCUGACGGCCAUAUUGGACAGGCAGCCUGCAGCGGUGCGUCUCUUCCCGACCGGCUCUGAGUUUUCUGCCGUGUGUGAUGUCAUCGUGGAGGGCGUGGCCUCAUCCUGUCUGCAGGUGUCCAUGUGUGCGGUGCGAGCCGCUGCUGUCCUGCUCAGGUCACACACACGCACACACACACACACACACACACACACACACACACACACACACGAUUCGAGUGGAUGUUCCUGGUUACUGUAGUGGAGCAGCAAGGUAAAUCGUGCGUGCGUGCGUGUGUGUGUGUUUGCACAGGCCCAAUCAUCAGUCCAGUCCGGUUCAGCUCGCAGACGUCAGGAGGAUCGUGGAGGUCGUGAUGUUCAAAAUCACAGAGCACCAUCACACACGCAACAGAGAGAGCUGCUCUGGUUCAAAGUCAGUGACAGCAGGAGUUUUACUGCAGAUGCUCACAUGCUUCGACGCCGCCUGCAGGUUGGUGGAGGCGUGUGUGUGUGACUCGACUCUGAAGGACGGUGUGUGUUCAGUGCAGGAGACGCUGGAGUCUGUGUGUGUGUUUCUGCUGCACUGCUGCGACGCUGCCUGCAUCCCUGCAGUU
rnacentral:lncRNA from 1 species